GUGCCCCUGCUGUGUUCGAGUUCCGGCCGCAAUCCCCUGGCCUUUCUCUACCCCAGGGAACCUGCUCGCUACCGGGCCAUGCCCGGGAAUGGCGGUUCCCACCUGAACUAUAGGUUCAGGGAAGCCUGCUGGUCACGGCACGAGCGGAGGCAUU
rnacentral:other from 1 species